rnacentral:rRNA from 1 species
GAUGAACGCUGGCGGCGUGCCUAAUACAUGCAAGUCGAGCGAACAGAUGAGGAGCUUGCUCCUCUGACGUUAGCGGCGGACGGGUGAGUAACACGUGGAUAACCUACCUAUAAGACUGGGAUAACUUCGGGAAACCGGAGCUAAUACCGGAUAAUAUAUUGAACCGCAUGGUUCAAUAGUGAAAGACGGUUUUGCUGUCACUUAUAGAUGGAUCCGCGCCGCAUUAGCUAGUUGGUAAGGUAACGGCUUACCAAGGCAACGAUGCGUAGCCGACCUGAGAGGGUGAUCGGCCACACUGGAACUGAGACACGGUCCAGACUCCUACGGGAGGCAGCAGUAGGGAAUCUUCCGCAAUGGGCGAAAGCUUGACGGAGCAACGCCGCGUGAGUGAUGAAGGUCUUCGGAUCGUAAAACUCUGUUAUUAGGGAAGAACAAAUGUGUAAGUAACUAUGCACGUCUUGACGGUACCUAAUCAGAAAGCCACGACUAACUACGUG